UACAGAGGGUGCAAGCGUUAAUCGGAAUUACUGGGCGUAAAGCGCGCGUAGGUGGUUUGUUAAGUUGGAUGUGAAAGCCCCGGGCUCAACCUGGGAACUGCAUCCAAAACUGGCAAGCCAGAGUACGGUAGAGGGUGGUGGAAUUUCCUGUGUAGCGGUGAAAUGCGUAGAUAUAGGAAGGAACACCAGUGGCGAAGGCGACCACCUGGACUGAUACUGACACUGAGGUGCGAAAGCGUGGGGAGCAAACAGG
rnacentral:rRNA from 1 species